UUGAAAGGGAAACGAUUGAAGUCAGUCGUACCAGCGGGAAAUCAACCUUUCGAGUGGUGUUUUGGAGUUUUGAAGUGUGUCAAAACCUUUGAGAUUUUAAAAUUUUCGCUCUUUUGGUGUACUUUCUCGUGGGUAGGUUAACAUCGAUUUUGAUCAUCAUAAAAAGACUGGAGGAAUGUAGCUUCGAUCUUGUAUUGAAGUGUUAUAGCCUUUGGUAAAUGUGAUGAUUAGGAUCGAGGAUUGCAACGAAUACCCUUCUGGGCUAUCCGCCUGAUCUCUGAUACGUGGCCUUGGCAUCGAAAGCUUGCUUAUGGUAUCAAGGUAUUACGGUCAAAAGGUUAGAACGGAUUACAUUCGUUAAGGAUGUUGACGUA
rnacentral:rRNA from 1 species